rnacentral:rRNA from 1 species
GUCAGUUACAGGCCCCAGAGAGUUGCCUUCNGCCACUGGGGUUCCUCCACAAAUUUACGCAUGUCACCGGUACACGUGGAAUUCCACUCUCCUCUUUUGCACUCAAGCUCCCCAGUUUCCAGUGCGACCCGAAAGUUGAGCCUCGGGAUUAAACACCAGACUUAAAGAGCCGCCUGCGCGCGCUUUACGCCCAAUAAUUCCGGACAACGCUUGCCCCCUACGUAUUACCGCGGCUGCUGGCACGUAGUUAGCCGGGGCUUUCUUCUCAGGUACCGUCACUCUUGUAGCAGUUACUCUACAAGACGUUCUUCCCUGGCAACAGAGCUUUACGAUCCGAAAACCUUCAUCACUCACGCGGCGUUGCUCCGUCAGGCUAAUACGCCCAUUGCGGAAGAUUCCCUACUGCUGCCUCCCGUAGGAGUCUGGGCCGUGUCUCAGUCCCAGUGUGGCCGAUCACCCUCUCAGGUCGGCUACGCAUCGUCGCCUUGGUAGGCCUUUACCCCACCAACUAGCUAAUGCGCCGCAGGCCCAUCCACAAGUGACAGAUUGCUCCGUCUUUCCUCCUUCUCCCAUGCAGGAAAAGGAUGUAUCGGGUAUUAGCUACCGUUUCUCGGUAGUUAUUCCCUGUCUUGUGGGCAGGUUGCCUAACGUGUUACUCACCCGUCCGCCGCUAGGUUGAUU